AACUCAAUUAAUUAAAGCCCAAAACAAAUUGAAGAGCCCAACUCCAAAUACACGGUUCUCUCUCUCAGCAAUAAUACACUCAUCUCUCUCUCUCUCGGUCACACUCCCACGCACCCAUACGAAAGUAAAUCUCUCUCUUCUUCUCAAUUCUCGUUUCUCUCUCUCUCGCUAAGUUCCGCCGCUGCAGAAACUCGCCGGGAAGCAGCGGCGAUAAGCCGCCGUCAUCCGCUGCUCUCCCCUCUCCGUCCGUUUCCGGCGACAUCAUUGUCGAGCCGCCCUCUCUUUCGGCCCUCCGGCUCAACUCCGGCAAAGCAGCCCCCAACGUUGUCUCCACCUCUCCCUUCUCCUCUUUCUCGUGCGACAGGUACCCCAUGCGCCGGCCGGCCGCCACCGCUCCGAUUUCGAACGGAGGCGCCGCCUGAGCCCUAGUUUCUUCCCCAAAUCAGAGAGCGCCGCCGUCGCUGCAACUGGAAGGUCGGGAGAUUCGCCGUGUCGCUGCUUCGAUCCGCCACCGC
rnacentral:lncRNA from 1 species